GCUUUUAUGCUUUAGACUCGAUGUCUUGGCAACUUGUGAACUGGUCAUGAGUGACCACACUUUAACGACUCCUCCAUUUAUGUAUUCCUUGGCGAGCUAUUACUGAAACCACACUUCACGUUCAUGUGUCAGGCUUAAUGUCAUAGGGAUUGUGGAUUGGUCAAGGGUGUCUCCUCCACGUGAGUGACUCUCUAUUUGGCGAGCAUUUAACAUUUGGAGUGCCACCAGCCAUGAUCCCUUCAUCCAGCGAGCGCUCUUGUCGCUUUCACACCCCGUUGGUGAUCUGUAUAUCGCAUACACCUUGUUAGUGAGUUGUAUGUAUUUCUCGAGGCUUGUUAUCGAGUCAUGUACUUUAGAGUCUUAGAUGACUCACCAUCUUUUGGGUGGGUUAUGUUUAUAUCAGUUAUUUUGCAUCGAGCCUCAUAUCCAUGUUAUCUGCCACCGUCGCAGAUUUUCUCCUUUUGUGAUCUUUUUCCAAUAUGCUCCACAAAAUCUGAAUAGUCAAGGAGGAUUAAUGAAAUAUAAUAACAAAGGAGUUCUUAUUGAACAUAUAACAGUUGGUCCUGAUUUUGAGUCAUAUUAUAUACAUCAGUCUGCUAUGUAUAGAGAAAGCCUACUCUCCCUCCCCGGGGAUUUAAUGGAAGCCAGUGAAGAUGACCAACAAUAAUAGACAAGAAGAAUCAAGGAGAGUCUUGAUGCAGAUAGAAAUCAUCAUGAAAAUACUGAUAAUGUCAGUGUUGACAAUUCCAUGCCUAAUCUAAUUCACUCUCCUAAUGGAAGAACUGAGGCUCCAUGGGCUUGAAAGUUGUGCUGAUCGAGCAUAUAUGGUUUCUGUUUAAUUUAGUUUAUUUUUUGAAAGUUCUUUCCAUACUUCAAACACACACUGUUGCUGUAUUUGGUGCUAUAACGAUGAACAUUUCUAAUGCAACGUACCGGUAUGUGAGUGCUGAUUUUAUCCUUA